ACGAUACCUACAGGCACGGUGCCGCCGCCGCCGCCCCCACGUGCGGUCGCGCGGCCAAUGUUCUUCCCCGACCCAUUGCAAUUCUGUCUCCUUCCCUUCUCCAUCUGCACCAAUCUUCUCCUGCGCCACCCUGAGCCUUCUUGGGCUCCAACCUCCUGCAAUCUUCAAGCCCGCCGGCACCCAAUCCGCCUACAAUCUUCAAGCCCGCCGGCACCAAAAGCAACCAGCGGUCGAUUCGACUGAUCCCCACUAGGAAUCCAUGGGAUUUGAGGUGGAUUUCCUAGGAGAGCGAGUAGGAAGGGUGAUGGUGGGGUUCAUGCGGAAGAUGAAGAAGCUGAAGGUGAUCCACGGCCCGCGAAGCCGAGCCACCACGGGCCUCUUCCCCUGCCGUUCCGCCGCCAUGCCGGGACGGCGUACUGGGCCUUGCCGGACGCCGAGGACAAGCGAGUCAAGCGCGGACAAGCACAGAGUGACCAGCGGCGAUAACUAUGCUCGGGCAGAUAGAUUCCGCCGCGGCGGAGUUCGAGAUACGAACAGGAGAAUAGUAGCUGUGAUGACUCAACAAGAUGGAAGUGUGGGAGUGGGACAAGGGAUGAGUGCAAUCGGCUCAGGUAAACUCCUCAUGUACACCGUCAGGCAUCAGUUCUAGUCGCGCCCGAAGCUUCCAAUCUCGCCGCUCCACUUAGUUUGUCGAAACAUUGUCGGCAUGUGCUCCAUCCAAGGUACGCCAUCGUCCAAUUCUAUCAUCAGUUUUGAACUUUGAACUAAUGACUAAUGGGUCGGAGUUGCCAGGGCUGAAAGUUCAAGGAAGAUUCAGCUUACAUCUGAAUUCCUUUGUAUUGCCUACAAUGUUAUAGCUUAAAUUCUGCUAAUAAAUUUCUAUCAAUGAUGUUCCAAACAAUUUCUUAGAGAUGGGUUGUGCACAAGGGUGCACAUUGUAGAUCUGUUAACUUAAGAUUUGAAUAAUGAGAUAUGUUCAUAUGCUUUGCUCACUAUUAUUCCUAAUUUACUCUGGACAUAAAGACCAAAGUUUAUUGCUUUUGUUCAGUCGAAUGCUACUUGAUCAGUACUUAACCAAGAUUGGCAGCCAUUAUAGCUGGUGUUGAACUCAGCUAUACACACUGAAUGUUACAAUAUGCCAGAAUAAACACAUUAGAAUCUUUUUAUUUAUAUUCAUACUAUUUUCUCAAGAUUGCUCUGCCGUUGCUAAUUUUGAUGUUCUGCUAUACUAGUAUUGCAUAUAGAGAGAGAUCAGAGAGGAGAGCAGCAGCCCGCUGCUGCAAUUUUGUUCAUGCUGCUACUUGGUUACUACACAUCUAUACAGAGAACACAGAGAAGGCUGCUGCUUGCUGAUUACAAUUUCUUCAUGUUAUGUGCAUAUCCUUAUGUAUGCUGCUGCUAGGUACCCAUGAUCAUGGUGACAAGGAAUCGAUACUGCAACGGUAGGGAUCUGGUGGCCAUCGAGUGGCAGCCGCUACGUACAUACGUAACUCCAACGAGUCAUGGUGAGGAGACUUUGAUCUUUAUAUGUUAGAUUCAGUGGCGAAUCUAGCAGGACAUUGAAGGGUAGGCUUAAAACAGUCUAAUUAGCAAAUGCAUUGCAAUUAUUGCAUGUAAACCACCAGAAUAUACUGCUCAAGUAGUAUGUUUAGCUUAAAUAGGAUUUUGAAGGGUAGGCUUAAGCCUAUUGAAGCCUCCUUAGUGGAAUCACCACUGGUUAGAUUCAUAGUGGAUAUACGUUACUACAUGUAGGCCCCAUACGCCAAACGAGUUCCUCCAUUAGUUUAUGUUAGCUUGUGAGCUUUCUUCAUCUCCACUGUACACAGAUUGGUCAUGCAUGAUGCAUCCAUGGCUUAGGAUAAAAAAUGAUCGUUUCCAUCCAAAUGUUAUUCAUUUAUUAUUAUUUUCCAAAUCAAUUGAGGAGAACAUAUAAAGAAAAAAUAAUUACUCGUCUGUUUUAAGAGACGAAAUAAAGCGAAAAAGAAAUUUCUCUGAAGGAUCUCUAGGGAGAUUUUGCACAUGAAGUUAAGGUUUGGUACAUUCAAUCUCCAAAAGAUAUGGUGAGAUAUCUGAAUUAUGUUUUGUCUUCACAGACUAAUAUGACACUUUACUUGGCUAUUUUACCAAUUUGUUGUUGUAGCUAAUAGUGUUGAUAUAUAUCCCAUUGUAGAGCAUUCAUUUGUAAAUAAUGAUUCUAAGACCUUUGUUUGUGUUCCUGUCGUUAUCAUUAAGCUUGCCUCAUAUAAUUGUUAGCACUGCAAUCAGAUAGAAUAUUAAAUAUUUGUUGCGAUCAGAAUCAUUUGCAAUGAUGUCUGAUUCGAUUUAUCUACCAAAGUUUACCAGCCAGAUUGCACAUGUACUCAAGUUUACUAGCCAUACCUACCAAAGUUUUCUUGGUUGACUGAUUGACCAUAUUUAUUAGCUGCCCACCUAAAUUUAUAGUGCCUUAGGACAUCAUCAACUUACAGUAAAAAUAAUGCAAUGGGCUUAUAUUAUCCUUCGAGUGAUCAUAGAUGUUCAAAAUGAUAUUUGUUACCACCAUGAGUAGUACUCUGCAAAGCAUAUACGACAUCUGUUUACUGCAGUAUUUUGCAACCAAAGCCCCUAUCUAUAUCAUUCUAGCGCUUCUCAAAAAAAUGUUGGAGAUAAAUAUCAGAAAAGGUUAAUACCCAAAAGCCCUUUUGUUAUCUCGAACUUUUCAGUCUUCAUCUUCUCUGGUGGCUUCACAUUAAAAAAGUAUUAUUUGGUGGCUUUGUAAGAUUUUCCUUUAUGCAAAUUAGAUUGCUUAAUAGCAUUCACAUUUCAAAUUCAUUGAUAUGAAUAAGCAUGUAUAGAACACGAAAUGUAGUUGAUACACACGAGCCAUACAACGUUAGAUAUGAUUCUUACCUAAAUCCAAGGAAUGACUGUAUUAAGUUAUUCAUGAUCUGGAAUGUUAUCCAUGUGAAUGUUUAUUUUCCAAUCUGCUGUAAAGCUAGGAAAUUGGUUGGCAAUAGUUUUUCUGUCAAGGUUCUUCUGUUUAGAUUCUAACUGAUAUGUAAGGGGAUACCGAUGAAUCAAAUAUUUAGAUUUUUUAUUUUUUUGAGAUUUUGAACUUCAGGGGUGGGGGUGUCUUCAGUCAUGCUUAUUGGAUUAGGAUCUAGGACCGUGAGCUAUAUUUCCCUAAUAAUCCCUAAUAAUGAAGCACGGAUUGACUCCCGUCGGGUUCACCGUCGUGACAUAUUUAUGCUAAACCCCCUAUAUUUUUACUGUAAUCAACCCGCAGUCCUAUUGUUCUAGUUAACCCGAAUCGGCAUGGGCGAGAAAAAAAACCCGACCCGGAAGCCCACGACCUUACCUCCCAAUCCCAUCUCUACCAACAGUGUGUCGCCGUCGCGCGCCGCCACCACCGGCCCUCGCCCCUCCGCCGUGCACCGCCACUGCCGGCCAACACCGCGCGUCCACCCCUACCCGACGUGCCUUCAUCCCUGCGGUUUUCCACCACCGGCGACAAUCAAAGCCGGCUCCGCACCUUCCCCAACUCAUCUUUCCCCUCCUCUGCCGCUGCCGCUCUCCAUCGGCCGACCAACGCCCUCGAGUCAGCGCCGACUCCUCCAUCCGGUUCCUGCUCGAUCUCCUCCAGGUCCAGAUCAUCCACAAUCUCAAGCGACGGGAGAGGAGCCUCUGCGUGCUUCUUGUCGGACGACAGCGCAGCCGUGCGCCCCUGACGCCGCUCUUGCACGUGAGGAGAUGCUACCUGCGGCUCGGCCGCUCCAACCCUAGGGUCGACGCCGUGGUCAUCGUCAAGAUCCCCUUCUCCUCUGUCGGUCAUCUUCUCCUCCCCGGCAGACGUCGUCGCCUUCGAGGACGAGGACGAUGGUGGUGGUUGCGCACUUCGCGUUGGUGGAUUACACCACUACCCCCAGGUUGGGAUUGGUGCGCGGGCGUCGACAUCUGCGUGCCCGAGAUCAUCGGAGCUGCAUCAGGCUAGCGCACAUCCUCCGCUACACCCCGACGCUAGAUGCGUCGACCUCAUCCCCUUGCCGCAGGAGAUAAAGGGCCGCCUGGACUGGGAUACUAGCGAGAUGGAGGGCAACUUCAGCACCAACUAGAGAGCAAAGGAGGUGGUCGUGCUCUACAUGAUGUCCGACGACCUUAACGGCCAGUUCUUCGCCGAGAAAAUGGGCUACCACGAGAUGGUCCUGCUCCGCCCCCAGGGCGCCGCUGAGGUGGUUGUUCAUUGGCGUGGGCUACCGACUUUGAUAAUAAUGAGAUUUCAUCCCCUGCGUCAGCUCAUCGGCGGAGUUCUUCUCUACAGGUAGCAGAAAAUCAUGCAGCACACACGUUCAAUUAGCCACCUACUUAUGCUUGCAUAUCUUUCUACGGAGUACUGCGCAUCCUGAUUUGCGUCUACUUGAGGAGCUGAUGCACAGAUCAUGUCGAUUUGGUCACCAUUGAGUAGUUGGAGAGCUACCUUAAGACACACGAUGUACCAAUGGUAGUCAUAUAUAUCUCAUGACAGGGCUUUCCUAGAUCAGUGUUGUAUAAAGAUAUGGCCACUGAAUUUGGCGUGUCUGCCUCUUUGUUUUCCGAAUAAUGUGAGAACUUCUAGCCUUCUAGAACAAGCAUAGUAGCUUAUUUAACUUUGUCUAAUAAAUAUCCUAUAUGGUCAAUCUAGGAUGAAAGUGUAUUUA